rnacentral:tRNA from 1 species
CAAAUUAGAGCUUGAAAAUUAAGCAUUUCAUUUACAUUGAAAAGAUAAUAAAUAGUUAUUUAAUUUGA